UCCGGCGUAGCUCAGUGGUAGAGCAAUCGACUGUUAAUCGAUCGGUCGUAGGUUCGAAUCCUUCCGCCGGAGCCA
rnacentral:tRNA from 1 species